CCCGCAUCCGUGUGGCGCGCGUUCCGCACGCCAAGGCUGUUCUCACUGGAUCUUUCUGUGUGGGUGGAGAAACGUGCGUGCGCCCCUCCGCGUCCUGCUGAUCCUCAGGUAUCUGUUGAUAAUCAUCUACAUUGUUUUGGGCCAUUACUAAAAAAUCUACUAUGGAUAUUCAUGUGCAGGUUUACCAUAUGGUGUAUCCAUUCAUUAUCAUGCAUAAAUUCUAGAUGUGGACUGGCCUGAUCAUAACGCAUUAUUUUUAAAGGGCAUUUCAAGGUAGCAGGCCUUGUAUUUAAGCAUUUAAUCCAUUCAGACUUGAGUUUUGUACCUGGCGGGAGACAGGCAGUGCUGUUUGAAAUGUCAAGUGAUAGAGUCCACCUGUUUAUUCAUACAUCAAACACUCUCCGAGCUGUGUUUCCUGUCGGUUCUUGUGCUUCUGUCUAAGGAUAAUGAAACCAAAGAAUCAGUCUAAGGGGGAAAGACUGAGAAAGAAAUGCUUUGAAGGUUCCUGCCCCCUUCCUCACCCUAGCUUAUGCUGUGUGACUGAGCACAAAACCAAGCCACUUUCUCCAGAGGGAGAUGAGGAGAUAGAGAAGCUUGGUCUUUGAGUGUUGGGAGCUGACUCCGAGCAGAAAGCGGCUAUCAUCUUUGCAGCCAUCUCGAGCCAUAUACCCUGACAAGAGACUUGUUUUCAACAGCCCA